AUCUAGCUCGUCGUUGUGCACAACUGCAUUGUUCGAGCAGAAUGUGUUGACCUCGAAGGUGCUCCUCACACUUCGACAGCGACCAUAGGUCAGGCAGGAUCACCUGUUGAGUUUAAGUAUAUCAAUAAGCGGAGGUAAAGAAACUAACAAAGAUUCUCCUAGUAAUGACAAACAAACUAGAAAAAACCCAACUUGAGAAUUGGAUGGCUCCAUCGUUCAGAUUGUAGUCUAGAGAAGCGUCAUCGACGGUGGACCGAGCUCAAGUCCUCUAGGAAGGGGUGCUAGAGAGGAUGAGAGCCCCGUUGUGCUCGAACCCUGUCGCAGCACGAAGCACUGUCGAUGAGUCAAGUCGUUUAGGAAUGCAGCCCCAAUCGAGCGGUAAAUUCCGUCCAAGGCUAAAUAUCGUGAGGAAAAGAUGAAAAGAACUUUGAAAAAAGAGUUAAAAAAGUGUUUGAAA
rnacentral:rRNA from 1 species